rnacentral:misc_RNA from 1 species
UACAAUGUCAGUCGAUUGUCAAAUUAUACGAUAAAAAAUUACAGUCAAUCACAAAAUCGUGGAUAUUUAAUUGAAAUACCAUGAAAUACUUGAUUGUUUAAAUGUAAAAGUGGACUACAGGAAUUAAAGAUGGAUUCAGAGAUAAUGGUGGAGACGUUGCCUUUGCUGGGGACUUGCAAUUUGUGUUUAAACGAAGGCGCUGUAAAGAGUAUGUUGAUUGGGCACAAGUACAAUGGGAAAUCAGAAGUUUACGCUGAAAUGUUGGAAAAAUGCUUUGUUAUUGACGUAUCACUGCUUCAACUGGGUGAUACAAAGCGUCUGAUCUGUGACAUCUGCAUCGUCAGGCUGCGGGACUGCAUGAUGUUCCGACACCAAGUGGAAACUUCCUUCAAUACCUUGGAAACUGCUUAUAAGUUACAUAAAGACGACAAAAUAGAUAAUGACGGCAUCAAAAGAGAAAUAACAUUAAACGUUGAUUUUGAUGAUGAUUUGCCAAAUGAUGAUAUUGACGAUGAUGAUGAACGAGAUCCAGAAAUAAAACCCGAAAUCAAGGCAGAACCCGAAGAAUGUACUCGAAGGACUCGCAGCAGAACUGUCAAAAAAAUACCAACAAAAUGUACAGUAAAAAAACACCAUGAUCUCACAGAAACCGAGUCCAUGUUACAAACAGGACUUUUCCCUUUCAAAAUCAGGAAAAACCGGACCUUCUCAUGCUCAAUAUGUCCCGAAAAAUCAACCAAUUUGGACGACAUCAAGGUCCAUAUAGUCGACCAUAAUAAAACAAAUCUUCACUUAGCUUUCAAAAAAAUGAUCUUUUCAAAUUCACAACGGUUUUACAAAUGUGGUACGAAGUUAAGAUGCAAAAUUUGCACCACAGAUGUCGCGAACUACGAAGAAUUAAGACAGCACGUAGAAAAUUGUACCAGACUCAAAUUUUCUAGUCGCAAAUGGAAUAAUUUGCCUUUCAAACUUGAAAAAGACCAACUUGACUGCCCUGUUUGCAAAAAAACCUUUUUAAACUACGUCAGUUUGAAUACACAUAUGAAUGUUCACUAUCCUAAUUAUAUUUGUGAAAAUUGUGGGAAAGCUUUCGCGUCUAAAGCUAGGCUCAGAGGUCAUAUGCGCACUCAUGAGGUCGGGACCUUUCCUUGUAGGUACUGCAACGCUACAUUUGAUAGGGUCACUAAACGAGAGAAUCAUGUUUCAAAAGAGCAUAAAUCGGGUAUAAGGUACGCUUGCAAACGUUGUAAUAUAUCCCUAACUUCAUUUUACGCUCGGCAAAAACAUUUGGCAGAAGUUCAUAAUGAGGAAUUAAAAAGAUACAAGUGUAAAGCUUGUCCUCAGAGCUAUAUAACUCCUGGACAUUUAUCGAGUCACGUUAGAAGGGAUCACUUAAACGAAAGGAACCAUAAAUGUGACCAAUGCGAUUUGGCGUUUUAUACGAAAAAUGCUCUGAAAAUGCACAUGAUAAAACAUGAUGGGGAGAGAAUACAUACGUGUCCUGUCUGUCAGAAGUCUUACCAAAGAAAGAAGACAUUAAGAGAGCAUUUGAGGAUCCAUAAUAAUGAUAAGAGGUUCGUUUGUCCGGUUUGUGGGAGGGCGUUUACUCAGAAAUGUACGCUAAAGGGUCAUUUGAAGGUACAUGAUAGGAAGUCUGAUAUUGAUGAUCAAUGGCGAGGUAAGGCUCCGCUGUGAUUUGUGAAAAAUUCUUCUAAUUUUGGUGAAUAGAAAUGUAACCUUUAUGAACGUGAUGGCGAAUUUGAAUCGAUUUUAUUUGUGAGUUUGCAAUUGCAAUAAAAAGAGAUAUGAAGUCUCUGAAUGCUCGACAAGUUUUUGUAAGUUUCGGGAUUUCAAAAAUAGCGAAAUCGAGGUUGUUUAGUGUCUGAAAGUGAUUUUUUCGUUAUUUUAAAGGACUCAAAAAAGAAAUAAAGUAUUUUUUUGCCGAAACGCAUGUAGAGUUUAGAAACUGAAUGUGAACCUUUUGAUAGUUGUUAAAUUAAAAAAAGAAAACGUUACUUUUAAAUAUUAUUUAUGCAUUUGUUAUUGUUUUUUUAUGCUGGCAAUAAAAUUGUUUCGAUAUUUAAAUUUGCGCGGGAAUAAACAUCACAAGAAGAAAAGAUUGUAUUGUUAUAAAUUCCAUUGGAAAAAUAAGUCUUAAUGUACUAACGAAUAUACGCAAUAAAUACUUGUAUAUAAAAUAACCUAACGUUAGAAUUACGCAAAAUAGACAAAUCUCAAAAAAUAAUUACAGGCUUAAGUACCUACACUCCAUUUGACAUUAAAAAAAAUCAAAGUCACUUUUCGUAAUUUUGGCGCCAAGUUUAGGUUGAUAACAUUGUAAAUAUGUACUACAUAAUUUAAAAAAAUACAUACUUUGUAAAUCCACGUAAAACGGGAUGUGAUUAUUAUUACUAUUUAAAAUAUUUACAUAAAUAAUCUUUAGAACUAAGUUAUUGAACAUUUUGUAAAAUAUUAAUAAGUAUGUUAAAUAUUGUUAUUUUAAUUUCGCGUUAGUGGACUUUCUCAGCAUAAAUAUGUCUACAAAAUGUAGUCUAACUUAUUAAACAAUUUAGUUUAAAAUCUCUCUAAACAUCACAAAAAGACAAAAUAAAAUCACAUAAGAACAUCGUAUACUGCCCUUAUAACAAUUUUUUUUAUCUGUGGUCGGCGCAGCAUGUUUUUUCCUUCCAUUCUCUCCUAUCUGCCGUCAUCUCACAAGUAACAUUCUUUCUAUCCAUAUCUACUUUUACACAAUCCAUCCAUCGUUUCUUUGGUCGUCCCCUUCCACUACCUAUAUCACGUAAAAAAGAUGAUAUUUUUUAAACUCUAAAUGCUAUUUCCAUUUUAGGAAUUUGUAUUUUUUAUUAUUUCAAUUAGGUGCCAUGAAAACUUUUUUUUAUAUCUUUUUCUAUCUACUAGCAUACGCAAGCAAUAUUUAAUUCGCACCUUGUGGGAACGAUUUCGCGUACCGCGAUAAUAAAGGUAAACGAAACACGUCUUGCCAAUUCUGAAGUCAGUCUAUUUGCUGUAGGUAUACUGUAGUCAAUUUAUUUGAAUUUCAUUCUAAAAGCUGCCAUAGUUUUCAAUUUCUAUAAUAUCUUGUACUAUGAAUCAUAAUAACGUACCUACGAAUGCAUCACAUUAUUUAACUACUGUAAGUUUAAGUUAUAUGCUUCCCUUGAAAAACUUUUGUAAAAUAAUUUUCUCUUGUUAUAUCUCACAGUGAGAGAAAAGCCGACUUUUGAUUUUAUUAUUAUCUUGUCGUCAGAGUUGAUCCGAUCCGAGCUUCAGAUUAGUUAGCCUCAGCUUAGCUAGGGGCUCAAUUCUGCUAAUUUUAUUUUAGUGUCAUAGAUUGAUAUCCAACUGAAAUUCAAUCACGACUCAAUUACAAUUGAAGCGUGUAUUAUGGUUGAUUCCACAAAUAUUUAAGUUAAGCAGCAAGCUACUGAUUGGAAUAUGAUUGGUCAUAUAUUAUUAGCAAUACCUAUGCCCGCUAAGGUCAAAACUGCUAUUGAGAUUCAAUUGGUAUCCAAUUGACACAUGAUUAAAUUAGCAGAAUUGAGUCUCUAGUGUAUUAAAAUAUACGUAAAAAAAACUUCAUUAUGUAUCACUUACAACUAUUGGUCAGUUAGGUAAAUAUAUUCAUGCUUCCUGAACACCCAAUAAAUUGAUAAUAGCCCCACAAGGAAAUAUGUAGAUAUCUUUGAGUCAGCUAUGCUUCUGAAAAGAGAUUGAAAGUCGGUGGUUUUUAGAUAAUAAGGUUGUAAAAAUAAUGUGCAAUAAGAAAAUCGUCCUAAAGUUGUAUAAAGUUAUUAUUAUUUAUGUACAUUAAACGUGUUAUUUUUAUUAUAAACUGAUAUUGAUAUUAAAAUACUUACGAUUAUUUAA